rnacentral:rRNA from 1 species
UACGGAGGGUGCAAGCGUUAUCCGGAUUUACUGGGUUUAAAGGGUGUGUAGGCGGACUUUUAAGUCAGGGGUGAAAUCUCCGAGCUCAACUCGGAAACUGCCUUUGAUACUAUUAGUCUUGAAUUAUGUUGAGGUUGGCGGAAUAUAACAUGUAGCGGUGAAAUGCAUAGAUAUGUUAUAGAACACCGAUUGCGAAGGCAGCUGGCUAAACAUAUAUUGACGCUGAGGCACGAAAGCGUGGGUAGCGAAC